CCUUACCUGGCCUUGACAUACUAAGAACUUUCCAGAGAUGGAUUGGUGCCUUCGGGAACUUAGAUACAGGUGCUGCAUGGCUGUCGUCAGCUCGUGUCGUGAGAUGUUGGGUUAAGUCCCGCAACGAGCGCAACCCUUUUCCUUAUUUGCCAGCGGGUAAUGCCGGGAACUUUAAGGAUACUGCCAGUGACAAACUGGAGGAAGGCGGGGACGACGUCAAGUCAUCAUGGCCCUUACGGCCAGGGCUACACACGUGCUACAAUGGUCGGUACAAAGGGUUGCUACCUCGCGAGAGGAUGCUAACCUCAAAAAGCCGAUCGUAGUCCGGAUCGCAGUCUGCAACUCGACUGCGUGAAGUCGGAAUCGCUAGUAAUCGCGGAUCAGAAUGCCGCGGUGAAUACGUUCCCGGGCCUUGUACACACCGCCCGUCACACCAUGGGAGUUUGUUGCACCAGAAGUAGGUAGUCUAACCGCAAGGAGGACGCUUACCACGGUGUGGCCGAUGACUGGGGUGAAGUCGUAACAAGGUAAGCGUAGAUGA
rnacentral:rRNA from 1 species